ACCGGCAGCCCGAGUGGUGGCCAUUUUUAUUGGGCCUAAAGCGUUCGUAGCCGGCCUGAUAAGUCUCUGGUGAAAUCCCACAGCUUAACUGUGGGAAUUGCUGGAGAUACUAUCAGGCUUGAGGUCGGGAGAGGUUAGAGGUACUCCCAGGGUAGGAGUGAAAUCCUGUAAUCCUGGGGGGACCACCUGUGGCGAAGGCGUCUAACCGGGACGACUCUGACGGUGAGUAACGAAAGCCGGGGGAGCAAACCG
rnacentral:rRNA from 1 species